UGUGCUGGUGUCCAUGGAGGAGGGGGUACACCCGAUCCCAUUCCGAACUCGGAAGUUAAGCCCUCCAUCGCCGAUGAUACUGCGUACUCUUGCGUGGGAAAGUAGGCCGAUGCCAGCACU
rnacentral:rRNA from 1 species